rnacentral:rRNA from 1 species
CCUGUACUUUCUUAACAUGUGAUGGAGUGACGGGGAAGGAUAAUUUUACCACUAAUUGGAUUGUGGGGUAAGUAACAACUGGGUUAUGUAGGCAAAUCCGCAUAACUUAACUGGGAGUUACGACGCAUAGCAAAAGGGCAACUGAGUAGCGAAUUAGAUGAUUUCAUGCCUCUUAAAAAAGCUUCUAACAUUAAGUGUUAGGAAACCCGUACCGAGAACGGACACACGUCCCCAAGAUGAGUAUUCUAAGGCGAGCGAGAAAACUAUUGUCAAGGAACUCUGCAAAUUCAUCCCGUAAGUUCGCAAGAAGGGAUGCCCACAAUAAAAUGUGGGCCGCAGUGAAUAGUAAGGGGGAACUGUUUAUCAAAAACACAGCUCUAUGCUAAGUCGUAAGAUGAUGUAUAUGGGGUGACUCCUGCCCAGUGCCCGAAGGUUAAGCAGAGGUGUUAG